rnacentral:rRNA from 1 species
GCCGUUAGCAGAGUGAGGCGUCGAGCGGCGGACGGGUGAGUAACGCAUAGGAAUCUGCCCGGUAGUGGGGGAUAACCUGGGGAAACCCAGGCUAAUACCGCAUACGCCCUACGGGAGAAAGCAGGGGCUCUUCGGACCUUGCGCUAUCGGAUGAGCCUAUGUCGGAUUAGCUGGUUGGUGAGGUAAUGGCUCACCAAGGCGACGAUCCGUAGCUGGUCUGAGAGGAUGAUCAGCCACAUCGGGACUGAGACACGGCCCGAACUCCUACGGGAGGCAGCAGUGGGGAAUAUUGGACAAUGGGCGCAAGCCUGAUCCAGCCAUGCCGCGUGUGUGAAGAAGGCCCUCGGGUUGUAAAGCACUUUCAGUGGGGAAGAAAUCCUCGGGGCUAAUACCCUCGAGGGAGGACAUCACCCACAGAAGAAGCACCGGCUAACUCCGUGCCAGCAGCCGCGGUAAUACGGAGGGUGCGAGCGUUAAUCGGAAUUACUGGGCGUAAAGCGCGCGUAGGCGGCCUGAUAAGCCGGUUGUGAAAGCCCCGGGCUCAACCUGGGAACGGCAUCCGGAACUGUCAGGCUAGAGUGCAGGAGAGGAAGGUAGAAUUCCCGGUGUAGCGGUGAAAUGCGUAGAGAUCGGGAGGAAUACCAGUGGCGAAGGCGGCCUUCUGGACUGACACUGACGCUGAGGUGCGAAAGCGUGGGGUAGCAAACAGGAUUAGAUACCCUGGUAGUCCACGCCGUAAACG